AAUUUUAUAGUCUCAGUUAGUCCAAUGCAGGCUGUGACUUUUGCAUUUGCUUGUGUAGAUAGUAUACAUGUUGGUUAUGACUUUUAUUAAAUAGUCAGAUGUCGUUGAACAGGUUGACAUAUUCAAGAAGCAGCAGUAAUGAUGAGCCAAAGACCUAACCUGAUGCUUAGAGUGCCAGAUUUAGUUAUUUUGGACUGCCUCUACUUGGAAAUAACAGAUUGAAUAGAAAUGUUGAAAAUGUAUGAAAACUGCAUAGACCUGAUGUCAUACUUGGCUGAUGGAUAGGUAUGACUGGCACGUAAUAGGGGCACUUAACUAUUUCAUUAAGUAGGCUACACCAAUGAGGUGAAUCCAAGUAGAAGCCAUUUUCCAUUUUUUUUCCCCCCAAUUAAAUUUAUAUCAAUCACAAAAGACAAGCUGGAUAUAACCGGUAGUAAAUGAGGUAAAUAAGAAUUUCAAAGCUUUCGGACCAUUAGAAUUGUGCAAAGAUGCUGAUAUUGAAUAUCAGGAAGAAGAACCAAAUUUCUGAUGCAAGAUAUAUCACACAUUUUAUGUGUCACCAUUGGCGAUAAACUCAAAGAAAAUAACUGUUUCAUUCUCAUUUUUUUCUGGCAGUAUAGCAACAAUUUCAAUGUGGCAUUCUUGUAAAAGUCUAAAUUUUUAUUUUGCCCCUCACUCUCAUGCCCCCAUCAAUUUGUAGGCCGGCAGGUAAUUACUCCCUGCACAAGGCCUACAAGUCCCACAGUGCCUUAGAGGAACCAUUGACCUGAACAAUGGCUGGGCGACAGACUAUUGCAUCACAACCAAGGCAACGCACUGAGUCGUAUCAUAGACUUCGAGGCAUUUAAUCAAAUGGGAUGAGCUAAUCAAAGAUGGAAAGAAGGAGAGAGGUCGAAUAAAGAGCAAGCGGUAAAGACAGAAAGACUGCAACACAAAGAGGAAGAGAGAGUGAGAGCAAUAGACUGUCUGUAGUCUGAUGCAGUAGAUAUAUGCUGCUUUUGGUGGUAUUAUCGAUGUCCGAUGCCAAACGGAUAUCUAACAUGUGGCAAGAAAUGAAUAGCCUGGAGCAGAGCUACAGGUGAUAAGGAAUUGAACAAUUUUAACAAGGGUGGAAAUAAUGCAUCAAAGUGAGAAUUUAAUAACCUCUAGUUUUGUUUUUGUUUUUCAAAAUGAUAUCAUGCUUAUCACUGCUCGGUAAUGUCGUUGCAAGCAAUGACUAUUUUUAAAACUCUUGUGUCUUAGCGCAUUGAAGCAAUAUCCAAAAUCCUACCUCUGCCGUAUCAAGCCUUGCUGCAGAAAAGCUUUAUAUUUGCAAAGUAUGCCUUUGAGAAAUCAAACUCAAAACACAAGCAAUAAUAAUAUAUCACAAGUUAUGAAAAGGAAAAUGUGAAUUUGGUAGUUUCUUGCAUUAAAACGGCUGCUGUUCAGCAGCUAGAUCACACAUCUCAGAUGUCUUGAGCAUGUGAGUUGGCUUUUAUACCUGUGGGCAUGGACCAAGUGCUGCUUCAUAUGUUUUGAAAAUGGUCAGCAAUAAUAUAUACACACCGCAAUUUGUGAUUCCCGUAGGAAAUACUUGAGCGCACAAAAAGUUUCCAUGUCAUACUUGCACAAGAUGUUGAAGGGUUUUCACAGUUGCUACUGUUGCUUGUACAGUAAUUAUAGUAGGUCUAUGAAGUAAAUGCAGCAUUACUAGCAUUAUGUCAGCACUGCUGAUGGAAGAAGACUGAUAUUAAAAGCCUUCCACACUGUCAAUUAGGACUCUCCCACCUUCUCCUCCUCUUCCUUAAUGUGGACUAGUGUCAUCAGAAAGAAACUGAUAAGCAAAAUGUGAGGGAAUAAACAUUUCUGCAUUAACUUCCAGCUGAUAUCAAGGUCAGACAAAUGCCCCCGACAAACUUUUUCAUUAGGCCAGUUGUAUUAAGAUGCAGUUUAAUUACACGUUUAAUUAACUAGGCAGGUCAAUUAUAUGGGAUGGGUCAAAUGAACUGCGCUAUCUCAAAUUAGGAGGAGGCUACCAUUUUUAUAGAGUGAAACGCUCUGUGGUGCUCUUUAAAAAAGUGAAGGCCAAAAUUAACCUCUAAAGGCAGAAAGAAAACUUUUUUGUACAGACUGACAAACUUGCAGUUAAGCAAGAGUCACACUAACCCAACCCUAAGUACAGGGAGUACUCCCUGACAAGGACAUGGGAGUUCAGAAACACCUUAGCAUUGAUUAAACUCACUGUCUGUGGUGACAUCAACAGAUUGACGAAUGUGUGACUAAUCUAGUAAUAUGCACUCAUUCAUUCAUUUACAUGGGUAUGCCCUCCUCACAUACUCAAGCCCCCUCUACCAGUCACACCACUCUCAUUUAUACUGUAUAUCAAUGCAGGUUCUUACCCAAACUUUGAACUCUACUACAAACAGAAACAACCACAAAAAUCCUAUCAUAUAACCAUUGUGUCAUUCCAGCAUGAUUGAAACACAAAUCAGUAAUUUCUCCAGCAUAAUUCAAAACUCAAUUUAACUAAUAUGCCCCCUGUGACUCACUCUCUGCAAUGCCAACAUUAGUUAAAAACAGAAUCAGGCAGGACUCGUGUGCUUGACAAGGACCAUUAUUGUCGUUUAACUGCUCUAGCUACUUAUGCUUUGAGACUAAUAUCUAACCAGCUGGUAAAGUUUGUUGGCUCUUUUGACACAAAUAAAUAAGUCAGUUUGAAAAAAAUCAUCUGCGUCUAAGUUAGAGUGUAAGUUAGCAAACGUUAAGCGUUAACGCUAGAUGAAGUGGAGUUAGCAGCGCUGUUUAACUUUGCCAAGUUUUACAUUGUUACCCAGCUAGCUAGCGUUAAACUUAGUUAACUUUCUGUCAUAUUUUUACAAUGACAAACGAUUCAGCUGUGGUUAAAACGCCAGCAAACUUAAAAUCAACUCACAACUCAAAUGUAAAGUCUGAUGUUGUUUAGGUCAUAACUAGCUUUGCGUUAGUUAACGUUACCAUUUGUCAGCUAAUAAACGGUCGCUAGCUGGGAAGGUAGCUAACAUAACCUACACCUGACUGUCAUAACAGCGAGACAGACAACAAUGUUUUGGACACAUCGGCAACAGCUAAUUAGCUUGGUUAGCUUGAUAAAUGUUAUCCAAAUAAGUUAAUACAGCUUUCCGUGGGCUAAACCUUGUAUUCGGCGUCUGCUGUUGUGAGCUAAUGAGGGCUAUCGUUAUGAGAAAGGGGAAACACAAUCAUCAGUCAGUGGAUCCACCCAUCCGUCCCUCCAUCGUGCCCAGGGGCCCCCCGGGUCACUCCUAACCCAAGAACACUGCACCCUCCCCGGGAUGAAACCUGGCCGUGCGCCCCCUCUCCCUCCCUGGAGCCUACAUGGAGCCGCUGGCUUCGACUCGUCUUACAGGGCGUCGAUUCAGCCUGAAAUCAAACCCUGGUGAGAGAACACAGGCCUGGAUGGACAGACAGAUAGAUGGAAGGACAGACAGUGAGGUGGAUACGUGGGGAGCAGAUGAACGGACGCAUCUAGGCCAGGCUGAGGAAACAAGAAGACAUCCACAGGGACAAGCAGAGAUGAAUAGAGGCUGGAAGUGUGUCAUUUUCCUGCGGGAGGUGGGGAAUGUAAUUUUGCAACCCUCCCAAACUUGAUCAAGCCUAAUGCUCCUAUCUAGUUUUUGACCAAAAACCCUGAAAUCUGUAAUGAAAUGAAAAGAGCUGUGGGAAGGAGAGGGAGUGGAACAGGACACUCCUCUAUUUACCAGCUGUUGUUUCGGUGAACACACACACACACACACACACACACACACACACACACACACACACACACACAAGAGCAAUUCCUUGGAAAAGACAAGCCUACUGUAAACUUCUCCAGAAGAGCACAUAUGGCAGAUAGGGACGGAGCCAUCACACUUGCACACACACACACACACACACACACAUAACAACUAAAAUAUGAGCCCAUGCUGUGUUAAAGAAAGCAGGUACAUACUUACAAAUUAUGUUCAUGUAAUAAGCUAAUAUAUUUGAUUCAUGUUAGAUGUGCUUGGAAGAGGGAAUGCAGCCAGUUUUGUGUGCAUGUACUGUAAUAUCAUCUUGUGUCCUAGAUUGUAGAGAGGAACUGACACAAAAAAACAGCCCCCUGCUUCUCCAUAGGGAUCGUUUCUUAAUCACUACUAGUAUGUGAAACCAACAGUUGCAUUUUGGUACAAAAUGAGUGGUUUGGUACCAGACAGCUGUUUAGGAGAAUAAGUUAUGAGUAAAAUGACAAAAUUAAGUGCAAAUUGAAAACUUAUUCAAAAUUUAGGAUUUGUGAAUUUCUCAUGUGCUUGACAGUGUUUGAAUUACAAUCUGGCCUUCAAUAUGUAUAUGUAUAUCCUGUAUGUAUAUAUACAGUAUGUUGACAGUGUAUGACAAUACAAUGCACUUUGUUUUUUGUUCUCAUACACACACAAGGACUACAAAAGGCACAUUAUCCUUGCAGGAUGAAGUAUGUCAUAUUGAUUGGCCUAAUGCAUAGACCUGUAUCUAAAUACAGCUGUAGAAUCCAGGUGAAGUCAUUACAAUGAAGAAAUUCAAAUCAUGCAUUUUGAUUUGAACCAUUGUCGGAGUAGAAAUGUUAUUAAUUGUGAAAUGAAUGGUUAAUUAAUCAUCAGCUUUUGUACCUCAUCUCCAAAUAUGCAUUCAUAUUCAGGGGGGCUCAAGUCACUUUUGGGUGAGCUGAACACCUGUAAUUCUUAUACUGGCCUGGGAAACUCUGUGCCACACAAUCUCUGAAUGUACUUGUUGCAGUGCACAAUCAAUGGGCCCCAACUUUUUCUUUUACCAAGUUUCAGUAAAGUAGUCAAAUGGUGAAAAUUAUUGGCAUCACCUGACUCAUGGUUGGAAAAUUAUUUUAAAUCCCAGAAUUAGUUUUUGCUGUGUUUUUCAUGUACAUGUACCUUUAUUUUUCUUCAACUGCUCUGUACUACUGUAUACUUCUCCUCUCUUUCCACUCCUCUCCUCUCUCCAUUUCAAGCCUCCAUCCAGAAGUUAACAUGGAGGGAAAUAAACUUUGAAGCUCUGCAACCUCCAGGCAUGAAGGAAAAUGAGAGGGGGGGAAAGACAGCAAGAAAUACAGGUAGAUGAAGAGGGAGUGAGGAAGAGACUUGUUACUGAAUGUUUCCAUGCAACUAUCAAGUGAAUUUUAUGCAAACUUUUGAAAAGUCCCAGAAAGUAAAAUGUGAAUUAGGCGCGCUUCCAUCAACUGAAGUUGAAGUUGAUGAGAACAAAUCUGUUAGAUAAAAGAUAGAAACAAUACAAAAACAGAUUUGGAGAAGACAGAAUUUGUGUAUUAUUUUACUAAAUAAAGCAAUAAACAACUUGUCAGUCUCUCCAUCUGUCUACGUAGCUGAAAUCUUCUAGCUCUAGCUGCAGUAUUGGGUUUCCUGACAUUAGCGGCCCCCGUGGCGGCUUCGGGGCUGCUGCUCUUUGAAGCUUCAGCGGUGCUGCUCCGGCUCAUUUGGUAACAGGUUGGGAAUGGGCCGCUGGCAAAAAAUGAGACCCCGGUCGCCUUGGAAACAGGUCCCCCACCCACCUUCACAAUGUGGUUUGGAGGGAACGUACAGUGACAUUCUGCCUGUUUCUCACCGGAGAGCCAUCGACACAUGGAAGGUUAACAGCCAAUGUCAAUCAUCUUGCCUGUUUGUGGAAAUCACACCUGAGCCAAAAAACGCUCUGCAAGUGGUUUCACGUGUCUCUAUUACGCCUGAGGAGAGCCUGAUUUAACUUCAGAGCCGCUCGGAGAAGCAUCAGAAAUUAAAGACUGUCCCUGUCAGCUGGAAAACACCUGAUCCUGAUUUUCGAGAAAUUAAACAUCCAGAUGACCAGAUAUUUAUCAACUGCUUCUUUAGCUGCUGAAGAAUGAAAAAAAAACAACAUUCUGCUUCUGCAGGACUGUUUGUACUCUGUUGUGAAGGCAGUCUGCCACCAGGGGGCACUACAACUUCAUGGCCCCACAAUGGAGCAAGAGAGGAACGCCUAUGAAGAAAGUGUAGUGAGAGUUUGUGACAAAGAGAGAAAGUGUGACAGAGUAAAUAAAUGGAAAAGUAGUUAGGAAGACAGAAAUUUUGGGAAAGUGAUAUAAAUAAAGGCGUGUGAUAGACAAAUGAACAGUCAAAGACAAAAAGAGAGAGGGAGAUAGAUGAGUAGAUAGACAGAGGGGGUUAAGGGCAGUUACGAGUGAACACUGAGUCCAUUGAGCUGAUCAGAGGAGUUUGUGGCAAAGACAACCUUUCUCCAGUCUCUCAGCUUCAUGGAGGGACACUCGUCGGAUGUUGUCCGCCUAAAACUCUCCUUACUUCAUGUCUGCUCUGUGGCCUCAAUUCAAGUCUGACACUGUUUAGGUAACAAGCAUGCUUUGUCUCAGAUUCUGAUCAAAAAGAAAAUGUUUGUAUCAGUUUUGUUUGUGCUAUGUGUUGUAUAUUGACAAAAACAAAAAAAAGAUUUAUGACUGAAUGAACUACAUUUGACAAAAGGGUUUCAGGCUGUCCUCGUCUUGUCCUAGACUUGACCUGUAAGUCACUCUCUCAGCUCUGACUUUCGCAUAAACCUGUUAGAAGGAACUGCUCACAGCAGCAACAUUAACUUACAAUGGGUGCACCAGCACAAUAACCUGAAAAAGCUAGAACACCAACGUGGCAACCAACAGUAUGGGAGGUCAAGGGUCAGAGCCACAGAGCCCAGACAACAACUCAACACUUUUCUUUGAGACAAGAAUAAAUUACUAAAAAGUUAGAAAUAUAAAGAAGUGACAAUACAAGUAAGAAGUCAGAAUGAACUUUUUAAGAAGGAAAAGACAGGAGAAGGACAUGAGACAUCACAAGAAGAGAGUGACUUCAGAGUCUGACUACACUGUUCCCUAAAAAAGUUGAAUAUGAAAGGUCUAUGGUACAUGUAAGUGUUUUUAUAACUACACUAGUGAUCAAUUCACAAUAAUUAUAAUUUCUGUGAUCCUGAUUCUGACAAUUUUGCAUGAGUCAGAAAUGUAAGAGUCAUUCCACUCAUUUUACACAUAAAGUUCAUUUUGCUAGAAGCAAACUCAGCCUGUAAAAAGUAUGUGGCUUAAAAUUUAUAACAGAAAGCCUGUAAUACAAACUGGAAGUGUGGGGUUUGAAAGGGGAUGGGUUUCGGAGGCAGGUCGCUCUAAUGAAAGACACUACUGAGUUUUUAGGUUGACCCAUACUAGAGACUAAAACUCAAGAUACCUUGGCCUCUGCUGCUUUGAUCUUUGAUCUUUUUAUUAAUCUGUCUCUUGUGAGUGCCCCAACUUUAUAGAAGUGUGAUACUGAAUCACUUGAAUACCCCUUUAAGUUAUGUAAUACUGAAUAUAGAAAACCUAGUGUAAGGUAGUUGGUGACAUAGUGCCAACACAUACAUACUGUACACAUGUAUAUUAUGUUUAUAAAACUUUGUAAUGUGGCCACUGCAUGUUCUGUUGUUAGGUAACACACCAUAACCCUAUAACCCAAACUACAAUGCAGCAACAAUAAAAUAAACUUGUUUUCUUUUUAA